rnacentral:pre_miRNA from 14 species
CCAAGAAUGAACUAGAACUGCUUUGUGAAUUAGGUAGUUUCAUGUUGUUGGGCUUUUAUUUUUAAACACAAGAACAUAAAACUACCUGAUUUACUCCAGUUAUUCUCCUCGAAAUUGUUU